CUACGGAGGGUGCAAGCGUUAAUCGGAAUUACUGGGCGUAAAGCGUACGUAGGCGGUUCGUUAAGUUAGAUGUGAAAGCCCCGGGCUUAACCUGGGAACUGCAUUUAAAACUGGCGAACUAGAGUUGAGUAGAGGGGAGUGGAAUUUCAGGUGUAGCGGUGAAAUGCGUAGAGGUCUGAAGGAACACCAGUGGCGAAGGCGGCUCCCUGGACUCAAACUGACGCUGAGGUACGAAAGCGUGGGUAGCAAACGGGAUUAGAAACCCCAGUAGUCC
rnacentral:rRNA from 1 species